rnacentral:rRNA from 1 species
GUGAGGAAUAUUGGUCAAUGGGCGAGAGCCUGAACCAGCCAAGUCGCGUGAAGGAAGAAGGAUCUAUGGUUCGUAAACUUCUUUUGCAGGGGAAUAAAGUGCAGGACGUGUCCUGUUUUGUAUGUACCCUGAGAAUAAGGAUCGGCUAACUCCGUGCCAGCAGCCGCGGUAAUACGGAGGAUCCGAGCGUUAUCCGGAUUUAUUGGGUUUAAAGGGUGCGUAGGUGGUUUGAUAAGUCAGCGGUGAAAGUUUGCAGCUUAACUGUAAAAAUGCCGUUGAAACUGUCGGACUUGAGUGUAGAUGAGGUAGGCGGAAUGCGUGGUGUAGCGGUGAAAUGCAUAGAUAUCACGCAGAACUCCGAUUGCGAAGGCAGCUUACUAAGCUACAACUGACACUGAAGCACGAAAGCGUGGGGAUCAAACAGGAUUAGAAACCCCGGUAGUCC